AAGUUCAGAGUACGCGGGUUACAUUAUUUUAGAAAGAAACGUGUAACGUGAUUCUCUAUUAUUCGUGUGUGUGCGAAUAUUAUAACGUGUGCUAUAAUAGAAUAAUCAAAAAUUUAACCAGUCCAACGCCAAAAAUGAUAGAUUUACGAGAUGAAAAUGCAAAAAAUACGAUAAAUAGUGGAAAAUAUGUUAAUUUAAACAUACCAGUUACAUCACAACAAGGGUUAACACAACUUAGUCCUUAUUUAAACUUCGAUCCUGCAUAUCUUCCUCCAAGUCAACCAGAAUAUAUAUUUCCUGAAGGAGCUGCAAAACAAAGAGGAAGAUUUGAAUUAGCUUUUACUCAGAUUGGUGCAGCAUGUAUCAUAGGAGCUGGUAUUGGAGGUACAACUGGUUUUUAUAGAGGCAUUAAAGCAACAUCUUUAGCUAAUCAAACUGGCAAACUUAGAAGAACACAAUUAAUCAAUCAUGUCAUGAAAAAUGGUUCUUCAUUAGCGAAUACUUUUGGGAUAGUAUCUGUAAUGUAUAGUGGAUUUGGUGUAAUUUUGUCUUGGGCUAGAGGUACAGACGAUUCUUUAAAUACUUUAGCAGCUGCAACUGGGACAGGCAUGUUGUUCAAAUCUACAACUGGCUUAAAAAAAUGUGCAUUAGGUGGUUGUAUAGGACUAGGAAUAGCAUCUAUGUAUUGCUUGUGGAGUAACUGGGACGCCUUAUUAAAAUUGAGGCAUCGCAACAUAAAUCCAGCAUCAAAGUGAAAUGCAAGGAACAAAAUGCGGUACAACUAGAAAUUUCCACAACCAAAUCAAUUUGUUUUGUAUAUAAAAAAAAUCAUUUUGGACAAUUCUAUAAAAUAUAAACAGUUGAACAAAAUAAGCAAAAUCAAUUUGCAAUAUAAAUAAAGGAAAUUGUGCACCAUUAUGUAUAUAUGAGUGUAUAUGUACACUUACAUGCGUUUUGUGUGAAUUAUAUUAGUAAUAAUUUCAGCAUAGUUUCUAGUUUUAAAUUUAUAUACUGAUUGGUAUAUCAACAAUACUAACAAUGUGUACAGUUUGUGACACCUGGAUUACUAAUGUAUAACACAGAGAUACCUCAUCGAUGAGUAUUAAUAAGAAUUCAUGGCUUAUUUG
rnacentral:misc_RNA from 1 species